UCAAGAAUUGAUAGCGCUUGC
ensembl:piRNA 21ur-3277 ncRNA